GACCUUCGGGGAGCCUAUACAGGUGUUGCAUGGCUGUCGUCAGCUCGUGUCGUGAGAUGUUCGGUUAAGUCCGCUAACGAGCGCAACCCUCGUCGUAUGUUAUAUGUGUCAUACGAGACUGCCGGUAAAAAGCCGGGGGAAGGUGAGGAUGAUGUCAAGUCAGCAUGACCUUUAUAUCCAGGGCUACACACACGCUACAAUGGUCUGUACAAUGGGUAGCCAAGCCGCGAGGCGGAGCCAAUCCUGAAAGCAGGCCUCAGUUCAGAUUGCAGUCUGCAACUCGACUGCAUGAAGCCGGAGUUGCUAGUAACCGCAGGUCAGCAAUACUGCGGUGAAUACGUUCCCGGGUCUU
rnacentral:rRNA from 1 species